rnacentral:rRNA from 1 species
AGGGAAUCUUCGGCAAUGGACGGAAGUCUGACCGAGCAACGCCGCGUGAGUGAAGAAGGUUUUCGGAUCGUAAAGCUCUGUUGUAAGAGAAGAACGAGUGUGAGAGUGGAAAGUUCACACUGUGACGGUAUCUUACCAGAAAGGGACGGCUAACUACGUGCCAGCAGCCGCGGUAAUACGUAGGUCCCGAGCGUUGUCCGGAUUUAUUGGGCGUAAAGCGAGCGCAGGCGGUUAGAUAAGUCUGAAGUUAAAGGCUGUGGCUUAACCAUAGUACGCUUUGGAAACUGUUUAACUUGAGUGCAAGAGGGGAGAGUGGAAUUCCAUGUGUAGCGGUGAAAUGCGUAGAUAUAUGGAGGAACACCGGUGGCGAAAGCGGCUCUCUGGCUUGUAACUGACGCUGAGGCUCGAAAGCGCGGGGAGCAAACAGGAUUAGAUACCCUGGUAGUCCACGCCGUAAACGAUGAGUGCUAGGUGUUAGACCCUUUCCGGGGUUUAGUGCCGUAGCUAACGCAUUAAGCACUCCGCCUGGGGAGUACGACCGCAAGGUUG